UUGAAGUUGCCUUCUCCAUUCCUGACGAAUGCAUUGCAAGGAUCCUCUGAAAAUUUUCGAUUCUCAGAGUUUUUGGAGGCUCAGUAAACUCACGAUUGAUCCUUGGGCAGCAGAAGCUCGAGUUUUGAUCCGAUGGGUUUCCAGUGUGAC
ensembl:ncRNA Y43F8B.26 ncRNA